ACGGAGGGUGCAAGCGUUAAUCGGAAUUACUGGGCGUAAAGCGCACGCAGGCGGUUUGUUAAGUUGGAUGUGAAAUCCCCGGGCUUAACCUGGGAACUGCAUCCAAGACUGGCAAGCUAGAGUCUCGUAGAGGGAGGUAGAAUUCCAGGUGUAGCGGUGAAAUGCGUAGAGAUCUGGAGGAAUACCGGUGGCGAAGGCGGCCUCCUGGACGAAGACUGACGCUCAGGUGCGAAAGCGUGGGGAGCAAACAG
rnacentral:rRNA from 1 species